rnacentral:sRNA from 3 species
CCUGGGCGACAGCCAUGUCUGCCCGCUGCCGGGGCACGGCACUACGCCCAUCGUUACCGCUUCCAGCAACGU